UACGUAGGGGGCAAGCGUUGUCCGGAAUCAUUGGGCGUAAAGAGCGCGUAGGCGGCCCUGUAAGUCCGCUGUGAAAGUCAAGGGCUCAACCCUUGAAUGCCGGUGGAUACUGCAGGGCUAGAGUCCGGAAGAGGCGAGUGGAAUCCUGGUGUAGCGGUGAAAUGCGCAGAUAUCAGGAGGAACACCGAUGGCGAAGGCAGCUCGCUGGGACGGUACUGACGCUGAGGCGCGAAAGCGUGGGAGCGAACAGG
rnacentral:rRNA from 1 species